rnacentral:rRNA from 1 species
CUACGGGUCGCAGCAGUGAGGAAUAUUGCACAAUGGGGGGAACCCUGAUGCAGCAACGCCGCGUGGAGGAUGACGCAUUUCGGUGUGUAAACUCCUUUUAUAUGUCAAGAAAAUGACGGUAGCAUAUGAAUAAGCACCGGCUAACUCCGUGCCAGCAGCCGCGGUGAAUACGGAGGGUGCAAGCGUUACUCGGAAUCACUGGGCGUAAAGGACGCGUAGGCGGGUUGGAAAGUCAGGUGUGAAAUCCUACAGCUUAACUGUAGAACUGCACUUGAAACUUCUAAUCUAGAGUAUGGGAGGGGGAGAUGGAAUUAGUGGUGUAGGGGUAAAAUCCGUAGAUAUCACUAGGAAUACCUAAAGCGAAGGCGAUCUCCUGGAACAUUACUGACGCUAAGGCGUGAAAGCGUGGGGAGCAAACAGGAUUAGAUACCCUUGUAGUC